UUUAGGACAUGCCUGUUAGUUAUGUGCACUUACUUGCUCUUCGUGGAGUAGCACCAUCACGCAGAUGUUCUGCAUCCUUUGAAUGGAAACCUUGGGUCUGCAUCCCCAAGAUGGGUAAAGUCUACUGGGUUCUCUGACCUCUGACCUCUGUUCUAAGCACACCUUCCAGUACAGCAGCCCAGGUCCCAGAACGGGAGUGGAAAUAAUGUCGCUUGCUGGCUUUAAGUCCCCAGAUGCAUGCCUGCUCUGUUUCCCUAAUGAGUCAUGUGCCUGUCAGAUGUCAGCUGGUCUUAGUGGAGACACUGAGACAUGCCUUGCCUCUCUCUGCCUGUGAUCUGUGGAAGAGGCUCUUAAGAGAUACUGGGUCUCACUCUAGAGCUCUCAGUUCAGGGAUAGGGGCUGGAAUGGGGCCUUCUACGGCACUAGUGUGGCAGCCCCGUAGUUAAUUUGUCGUGGGGCUGGGAUGGGACAAAGGCACCCAAAACCAGUCAGGUCAUUUCAACUUCUACCAGCCAGGGCUCUUUACACCAGGGAAGGCCGGUCAUAUACCAGUGUCCCAUUGCUGUGGAAACAAGAUUUUUUUUUGCACUCACCGAGCUGCAUGGUGACUCUGAGACACCUCCGUGGUGGACAGCACUUCUGGUCUCUCAUAGUGUCGUGGCUGCUAUCUCUACCUUCACCCUCCCCCAUAGCCUUUCUCCACCCUCUCUGCCUCUGCCCACCCCAACAGAGCAUUCAGCUGCCUUCCCUUCAGCAUGGAGGACAAAUAGCCCCAUUCAGGGGCACCCGCCAGAGCUGUCUCUCUAAGACAAAGCUGUGUGCAGCUCCCCGUGAAAAACGGCUCUUGGCUGCCCAGCGAGCAGGCAGGAUUGGUGGGUGCAGAUUGCAGGGGAUUUGUUAGUGGCUGCCAGUUCCCCCAGAGAUAGCAGGAAGGCAAGGCCUUGUCCUUGAAACACCAGCCUGCCUGGCAGGCUGGGGCACCUUCUCAAGGCCAGGGACAGACUUCCUCCUGGACACCAUCCCCACCCCCACCCCCAUGUGAACUCUGCAGAGCUGGGCUGUGGGGGAGGGCUUGGCUUCCUUCCUUCUGCCGGGCCUUCGCCCCUCCCAGGCCAGAUCCCAUGGAAAUGGCUCUGGAUUUUACUGCCAGCCUGUGGGAACUGACUAACCAUCAGAUAUGUGUUGUGGCCAAAACCUGUGUUCUCUGUGCCAUGGGAGAGGUCACUGGGGCUCUGUUGUUAGCACACCCAUUUACAGAGGAGGAAAUCGAGGCUCUGAGAGGGACAGACAGACUCCAGCCCUAUAGUUCUCAGUGCUAGUGACAGAAUUUGCUUGAAAGCGAGUCCAGUUUGGGCCCCAGGAAGCUAUCCCUCCUCCUGAGUGACCCAGGAAGACUGGGGCAAUGACCCUGGUUCCCCCAACUCCCAUCUCGCUGAGGGCUGUGCCAUGGGCUCCUGUAACCUUGCUCUGCUCUUCAACAAAGAGGACCAGUGGGAGGAAACUUGUGGGCCCAGCAUUCCCAGGCUAAGGAACUGGGGGGAGGGCAGUUGGAUGAUCCCCAGGGUAUUAAAACCUCACUUUGGAGAAGAGGCAGAGCUGUGUUAGAAAGCAGGCAGAUGUGGGAAGAGCAUUGCACUCAGGGAAAGGGCUGAGUUUCUCCAUGGCCACAGUGGCCACUAAAAACAAGGGCCAUGUGGGAAUGCCUGGGAUGUCGUCAGGUUAACCUUUUAAAAACACCAACCAGCUUACCAAGGAAGAGCAUACCGAAUGGCCGUCCAACACUAAGUGGUCAGCCCUCAAAACAUCUGUAUAAGUAGCACUAUAUAGACUGAGCAGAUUGUUUUUAUUUAUUUAGGAAUGUGUGUGUGAGAGAGUGAGAGAGAGAGACAGAGACAGAGGUAGCAGAGACAGGGAGAAAGCAUGUAAGUGUGUGUGUAUGCGUGUGUGUGAAAGAGAGAGAGAGUUAGUUAGUUAGUUAGUUAGUUAGUUAGUUAGUUAGUUUUAGAGUUGUCAGGUACAGAAGCUGCCCUUGAGUACACUAGGCACAGAAAAUAAGCACUGUCCCAAAAUAUUGACUUACAAGAUCUAUCAACUACAAAGGAGGUGGGUGUGUUCCCACCCUUCCCUCUAUUCCUUCGGAGCUCAUUGGAGUUGUUAGGGGUGUUCAGAACAGAAGCAACUCCUAGGCGGCUCAGCUGUUUCUCUAUACAGGCAGCUUGCAAUAGUGCCCCAAGAGCCAGAGGGGACAGGCCUCUUCUUGUCAGAAGGCCAUUCUUCCUGCCUCUCACAGAAUUAGCUCAUCUCUCCCCGCCCUACGAGAGAGACUUGUGCAAGGCCAGGGCUGCCUGGGGCUCAGCCAGGUGUCUACUUUCUAAGCCCAUCCAAACCAAGAGGCUGAAGGGGAUAGGGAGGGGAUGAGGGCAUCCACCCACGGUAGGAGGUGUCUACAUCUGCAGCUGUGACCCUACCAGAUGAUGCAGGGCUUGAGCUUUCUGCAUAGAAGUCCAGGCACUGGCGCCUGCGAGUAGAGGGGAAGGGAUCCAGGAUGUGUGUGGUGGGGGAGGUCAAGGCUCCAGCUAAACUGUAGAGAAGUAGGAGCAUGGGUGAGAGGGAGAGACCGCAGCGAAGUGUGGCUGUUAGGCAUGGUAUGUGCCAUGGGCUCCUGGGGCUCAGCCUGCCUGCGGCUCUGUUACUCACCCCCUCACUCUCACCAGUGAGGAGCCACAGAAGAAGUACUUAGUCACCAUCGCUUAGUCCCUUCUCCAUCCUUACUUGAGGGCUGUCUGGGGUGAGGGAUGGAGAGGAUGGGCUAGCCUUCCAACACACAGGUAGCUCUGCCUAGGGGCAAAAGCCACGUGCUAGGUCAGUGUGUGCUGCGUGGCAGAGAGCAGAUAAGGCGCUCACGGUGCCUAGCGUGGGACUGUCCCUGCCACAGUCCCCUGCAGCCUUCUCAUCUCCUGGACAGGCUCCAGGCUAGACAAAUUAUGACUGCAUACUGAGAGUUUUGCUUUAUUCAUUUGGCUUCUACACAGGGGGUUGUAAAAAAAGAACUAGAUGCCACUGCCUAGAGAACUACUUAUCCCAGUAGAGUAGCCACCCCUUGCCACAUUCAGAAACUGUCAAGACGAUGAAAGCCACUUCCUGAGUCUCCGUUGAACAAUAGUUUUCUUGUGGGGGCCUGGAGCCCUGUGAGCCAUCCUGUGGGUCAUGACCUGUGGAUGAUGGACACUUAUUCCAUCCAGCCUCAAGUUCCCCCACCAUCUAAGGCAUCUGCACCAUUUCACAGGUGCAAGAGGGAGGAAGAGUCAGGGGAUGCUCGGUGCUGCUCAGCAUGAAAAAUACCAAACAGGAAAGACUGAUGGGAUUCCAGUGCCGGUCCCACUGAAAGCACAGGCUGAAGAUGCAGAGAGAGAGACAGAGACACAGAGAGGGAGAGAGCACCCAAGCUAUUGAGGUUUGAAAUAAAUGAAUGCUUCUACUCUGUGGGUGACAGAAGGAGCACCACACCCACCACAGCUGUUUACCAGACUGCAGGUCCCACUCCAAGAAUCCCCAAGGCAGGCUUGAAGGCAAAAACAAGUUCUCUGGGUAUCAGGGACAGAAGUAAGACCAGAACUCCAGCCAGGCCAUCUUUGCUUCUCUGCAGGAUGUAAGGGGCCCAAGAAGCUAGAACAUUGCUCUGAGAAAGCAGAACCAAAAGCACUGUCACCCUAUGGGUGACUCCUUUCUAUACCAGCCCCCAGCUUCCCAACACAAAGGUGUUCUCAGGACAGAGGUCCUGCCAAACAGCCCCCCUCUGAUGUUCCCUGGUACCUCAAGGAGGUAUAGCUUAAUAAAGCCAACCACAGCCAAUAGUGC
rnacentral:lncRNA from 1 species